rnacentral:rRNA from 1 species
AUUGAACGCUGGCGGCAUGCCUAACACAUGCAAGUCGAACGGCAGCACGGCAGUAGCAAUACUGUGGGUGGCGAGUGGCGGACGGGUGAGGAAUACGUCGGAAUCUGCCCAGUCGUGGGGGAUAACUAGCCGAAAGGUUAGCUAAUACAGCAUACGACCGAGAGGUGAAAGCGGGGGACCGCAAGGCCUCGCGCGAUUGGAUGAGCCGACGUCGGAUUAGCUAGUUGGUGGGUAAAGGCCACCAAGGCGACGAUCCGUAGCUGGUCUGAGAGGAUGAUCAGCCACACUGGAACUGAGACACGGUCCAGACUCCUACGGGAGGCAGCAGUGGGGAAUAUUGGACAAUGGGCGCAAGCCUGAUCCAGCAAUGCCGCGUGUGUGAAGAAGGCCUCGG